UACGUAGGGUGCGAGCGUUAAUCGGAAUCACUGGGCGUAAAGGGCGCGUAGGUGGCGCGGUAAGCGUGCGGUGAAAGCCCGGGGCUCAACUCCGGGUCUGCCGUGCGAACUGCCACGCUUGAGCACGGUAGAGGCCAAUGGAAUUCCGGGUGUAGCGGUGGAAUGCGUAGAGAUCCGGAAGAACACCGGUGGCGAAGGCGGUUGGCUGGGCCGUUGCUGACACUGAGGCGCGACAGCGUGGGGAGCAAACAGG
rnacentral:rRNA from 1 species